GAUGAACGCUGGCGGCGUGCCUAAUACAUGCAAGUCGAGCGAACAGACGAUGAGCUUGCUCCGCUGACGCUAGCGGCGGACGGGUGUGUAACACGUGUAUAACCUCCCUAUAUUACUGGGAUAACUUCGGGAAACCGGAUCUUAUCCCGUAUAAUAUAUUGAAGCGCAUGGUUCAAUGGUGAAAGACGGCUUUGCUGUCACUUAUAGAUGGAUCCCCGCUGCAUUAGAUAGUUGUUAAGGUAACGGCUUACCAAGGCGACGAGGCGUAGCCGAGCGGAGGGGGGGGUCGGCCACCCUGGAGCGGGGACAGGGACAAGGCUCCUACGAGAGGGCGCAGUAGGGAAUGUUCCGCAACGGGGGAAAGCCUUACACAACGAGGCCGAGUGAGUGAUGAAGGUGCUCGGAUCGGAAAACCGUGUUUUGAGGGAAGAACAAAUGUGUAAGGAACUAUGCACGGCGUGACGGUACCGAAUCAGAAAGCCACGGCUAACUACGUG
rnacentral:rRNA from 1 species